rnacentral:tRNA from 1 species
GGCUAGGUAGCCAAGCCCGGUUAAGGCAACCGCCUGCAGAGCGGUCAUUUGGGGGUUCAAAUCCCUCCCUAGCCU